CUGUAUGUAUUGUUGUGUACGUGUUGACAUGCGUGUUUCUUUAAAGACUAAAGUGAAUUCAGAGAUUUGUUUGUAAAUACAUUAACUUGUGCAUGUUUGAAGAUAAUUACUGAAAACUAGAAAUACAACUAUGAAGUUCUCAUUUGUACAGAUAUAUCAUGAAACAGUUUUCAAUCAUUUCAAGUUUUUCAGAUUUUUUUGCCAUGAGUCAUCCCUCCCAACUUGAACGCCACCUUCGUUCGCAACAGCCCUAUCUGGUGCAAUUUGUAACAUGCAGUUAGCUAACUAGCAACGGCUAAAAUCCGAAAAGACAUCUGCCUUUCAGACAGUCCACUCUCGUAGCUGCUUUAGAGCGCCUCGUUUUUGGCCGUGAGUGCGCGCACGCCAUACAGAGAAAGACAGAAGAGCGAGGAAGAUGGAAAGUCGGACUUGACAGCCAACACGUGGACCAAGGCUUCACGCUGGCGUGGCUGCUUUGGAGUGUCUCGUUAUCACGGUGUGGAAAACCGCCAAGAUGACCCAGUGGGAUAUAUUCCAGCCACCAAAGGCUUUAAGCUUAUAUAUUUUCGUGGCUCAAAGUUAUAGGCAGACGUAAGAAAGAUUGAAGACGAAGUAGCAUCUUUUUUCCAGGUCGUAGUACUGGCGUUUGACUGACACUUGAGCGCAGUCAGCGGACACGCCGCAGCUUUUGAAAACGUGUUCUCCUAGCAUUCGAUUAACCAAAUGAAAAAUGCAUCGGCGGAUGUGGCUCUCCGUUCCCACAUGCGAGGGGAUUACAAUGAGAGCGAGGAUGAAGGCUGUCGACGGCGAGUGGGAGGGAGGAAGCACCCGAGGCCGCUGCGCACGGUGUGGAUGUUGAUGAAGUGCCGGAGUAAUUGGCUAAUGAGAUCUAAGCUGUCUCCUCUCUGUGCCUCUCACCCGGUGAAGUGACGCAUGGCGGCCCGCCGCGGGCUGUAUGUGUGUGAGUAUGGCGUCGUCCGGGCUGGUCAGUAGGUAGGGCGCGAGGGUGUCGACAUGGGUGACAUGGACCCACCGUGCUCUCACCUGACGUCUCUCGGCUUGAAUGUUCGGAAGGAGGUCGAAGGGAAUGUUUUUAAAUAGCACGGUGUUGUCACACACAUCUGCGGACUUUUUGACCAAACUCUAUGCAAUCACUUUGACCGGAUUCACUCAGUCUUUUUUAUUUACAUUUAGAUUUUAAGUCCUUUAAGAGUCAAGCUCAAUCAGAUGUACACAAUCCUGUUGACUGGUUUACUGGAGAGAGCAACUGAAAAUAUGGGAAUACUAGGGCGUGGGGUACAAUAGUGACAUUGUGAUGUGCCAUAUCAUUGUCCAUACAAUAUCAAUACGGUACUACUGUACGUAUAUGCUACCAGGGUCAAAAUCACUAUGAAGUGCAUUUGGUGUGCUCAGAAUCACUCAAUCAUCAUAAAAAUAGACCAGGAUAAUGAAUAAAUGAAUGAAAUUAAUAAAUAACAAUUACAGCAGACAGUGAGUGAACUUUGUGCACUUAGCUGCCGUAGACAUACAGAGAACACGUUCCAAUAGUACACAAGUCUACACGAAGGCAGUUCCACUAGUCAAUCAGCAAUAACAAGAUGCGAUGUCACCUCCUUAAAAAGGAGUCAAUGGGUAAAGGUUUUUGCACCACAAACCAUUAGUGCGUCACAAAAGGAGACAACCGCGAUAAACGAAACCAUUUUUACUCAUCGGUAAAUUUAUACAAUUUAUCAUGCAAUUUAUACAAUUUAUCAUGCAAAUCUAGAUGAACAUAUGUUUUGAAAUAUUUUCAUGAAUUUCUGUCUUAUUCAAGGUGACUCAGCUGAGCGGUGAGGCAGCACCCCAGCGCCCUCUACUGACCAGCCGCUACUAAGUUUCAGUGGAGCAAAACAAAGACGUUAAAAAAAUAAAUAAAUAAAUGGCUGAGAUGGGCCAAUACGCAUUUUGUGCACAAAAUUUAGUAUAUUAUCAGAUUUAGUGUUGAAAAAAGACAGAAAUUUAAGUUAGUUAAGCUUUAAAUGAUCUAAAUACUUUACAGAUUGUAAUGUAAAACAUGCUAAAACAAGAACCAUGUGAUGUUUUUGCUAUGAGACAAUCCAUCUUCAUUAACGCUUAUACUCACUCAGGGUGUGGUGAAACCUGCCAGCUGACUUCGGGCGAGAGGCGAUACCGCCGGACUAGUCGCCGGCCAAUCGCACAAAUAGACAAUCAAGUAAUGGAAUUUUUUUUUAUCAUCUUUCCUUCAAACAUGAAAACUGCAACCUCUCCGUGACCAUAGGGGUAGUAGGCGGGGUAACAGCUGGACUGAAGGCAAGUGUCAUAACGGAUAUGCCCCCUUUGAACAAAGUAGCAAUAAAACCAGGAGCUGAUGCAGUCGGUUACUGUGCAAAAGAUGUCCUUGUGUCAAAAUAGCAAAGUGCUAUUUUGCAAAUAAGACAUUGAGCAAAGUGCUCAAUGAAGUGGCUUUUCAUCAUGUUUCAGAGAAUAAUCUAUGUCUGCUCUUCUCGCUAUAUUGAUGAGGGAGGGGACUUGUAUACUCGGAGACUGAUUUUGGGAAGUUAUUCAGACACAAGGGAGACAGAUGCUUUUUUUGCAAUGCUCCGCGUUAACUUGAUUUUGGCUAAAACAGAUAUUUUAUUUCCUCCCUUCACACUGAUAAACAACACAGAUAAUAUCUUAAGUAACAUUUGAGCAUAGUUAAAAUAGUUAAGUCAACAGUCAUAACUGCUGAUACUUGUACUCGAGUGUACAUAAUGCAGGGUACACACUUACAGAAAAUUGGGCCAAAUUUGAGCAUUUCCUCCCUCCGUAUUAAAGGCCCGAUUAUUGGAUGUCGCUAAAAAUAUCCUAACCCAUGACCCUGUGGUGAGAGCGAUUUUUAUGU